AGUCGAGCGGUAGAGAGAAGCUUGCUUCUCUUGAGAGCGGCGGACGGGUGAGUAAUGCCUAGGAAUCUGCCUGGUAGUGGGGGAUAACGUUCGGAAACGGACGCUAAUACCGCAUACGUCCUACGGGAGAAAGCAGGGGACCUUCGGGCCUUGCGCUAUCAGAUGAGCCUAGGUCGGAUUAGCUAGUUGGUGGGGUAAUGGCUCACCAAGGCGACGAUCCGUAACUGGUCUGAGAGGAUGAUCAGUCACACUGGAACUGAGACACGGUCCAGACUCCUACGGGAGGCAGCAGUGGGGAAUAUUGGACAAUGGGCGAAAGCCUGAUCCAGCCAUGCCGCGUGUGUGAAGAAGGUCUUCGGAUUGUAAAGCACUUUAAGUUGGGAGGAAGGGUUGUAGAUUAAUACUCUGCAAUUUUGACGUUACCGACAGAAUAAGCACCGGCUAACUCUGUGCCAGCAGCCGCGGUAAUACAGAGGGUGCAAGCGUUAAUCGGAAUUACUGGGCGUAAAGCGCGCGUAGGUGGUUAGUUAAGUUGGAUGUGAAAUCCCCGGGCUCAACCUGGGAACUGCAUUCAAAACUGACUGACUAGAGUAUGGUAGAGGGUGGUGGAAUUUCCUGUGUAGCGGUGAAAUGCGUAGAUAUAGGAAGGAACACCAGUGGCGAAGGCGACCACCUGGACUGAUACUGACACUGAGGUGCGAAAGCGUGGGGAGCAAACAGGAUUAGAUACCCUGGUAGUCCACGCCGUAAACGAUGUCAACUAGCCGUUGGGAGCCUUGAGCUCUUA
rnacentral:rRNA from 1 species